UACGAAGGGGGGCUAGCGUUGCUCGGAAUUACUGGGCGUAAAGCGCACGUAGGCGGCUUCUUAAGUCGGUGGUGAAAUCCUGGAGCUCAACUCCAGAACUGCCUUUGAUACUGGGGAUCUCGAGUCCGGAAGAGGUGAGUGGAACUCCGAGUGUAGAGGUGAAAUUCGUAGAUAUUCGGAAGAACAACCAGUGGCGAAGGCGGCUCACUGGUCCGGUACUGACGCUGAGGUGCGAAAGCGUGGGGAGCAAACAGG
rnacentral:rRNA from 1 species